UACGGAGGGUGCGAGCGUUAUUCGGAAUUACUGGGCGUAAAGCGCGCGUAGGCGGCAUGGCAAGUCAGGUGUGAAAGGCCACGGCUUAACCGUGGGACUGCACUUGAGACUGCUGUGCUAGAGUUCGGUAGAGGGUAGUGGAAUUCCCGGUGUAGGGGUGAAAUCCGUAGAUAUCGGGAGGAACACCAGUAGCGAAGGCGGCCAUCUGGCUGAUAACUGACGCUGAGGUGCGAGAGCGUGGGGAGCAAACAGG
rnacentral:rRNA from 1 species